UACGUAGGGUGCAAGCGUUGUCCGGAAUUAUUGGGCGUAAAGAGCUCGUAGGCGGCUUGUCGCGUCGGCUGUGAAAACCUGGGGCUCAACCCCGGGCCUGCAGCCGAUACGGGCAAGCUAGAAUUCGGUAGGGGUAUGCGGAACUAUCGGUGGAGCGGUGAAAUGCGUUGAUAUCGAUAGGAACUCCGGUGGCGAAGGCGGCAUACUGGACCACAUCUGACGCUGAGGCGCGAAAGCCAGGGGAGCGAACGGG
rnacentral:rRNA from 1 species